GUAAGUUGACAAGUAGGUGAACGCUUGUAUUUCACCAUUUUUAUGCUGCGAUUUGUGACUUUUUGUAAACUGUCCUCCAUGUUGGAUGACGUCAGACUUAUGUAUUGUUUUGAUGAGUGAGCGGUGAACUUUCAGAUUGCAACUUUUCAAAGUCGUUUAAUUCAGGAUUUGAUAAUCAUGCCUUCUGGAGAAGAUAUCUGCUAGUUGUGGUCGUUGGUCGAUUGGAUAUUCUGUCAUUUUCGAGAUUUUGUCUGCUGCUGCUGCUGUUGAUCGAUCGAUUGUCGAAUAGUUCUAAUCCAAAAAACAUUCCUCUUCCAACAUCCUGUCCCCUCCGGCGAAGUAUCCUCAGUGGGCUGACUGUGUUCUCGACCGUCGGUGCAAAGAUGAUGCCAUCCGAUCGCUCACGCACAACAUUGUUGUAAUCCUCAUUACUGAAGUGAAACGAGACCAGCUACCAUCGGUUUUCUCUGGAGGCAUUGUCCUGCUGUAGGGCGAGUGCAUCCUGUCCCCUCCGGCGAAGUAUCCUCAGUGGGCUGACUGUGUUCUCGACCGUCGGUGCAAAGAUGAUGCCAUCCGAUCGCUCACGCACAACAUUGUUGUAAUCCUCAUUACUGAAGUGAAACGAGACCAGCUACCAUCGGUUUUCUCUGGAGGCAUUGUCCUGCUGUAGGGCGAGUGCAUCCUGUCCCCUCCGGCGAAGUAUCCUCAGUGGGCUGACUGUGUUCUCGACCGUCGGUGCAAAGAUGAUGCCAUCCGAUCGCUCACGCACAACAUUGUUGUAAUCCUCAUUACUGAAGUGAAACGAGACCAGCUACCAUCAGUUUUCUCUGGAGGCAUUGUCCUGCUGUAGGGCGAGUGCAAGAUGUUCUACUGCGCACUCCUUGACGGCCAAUCAUCGGUUAGUGAGUUGGAGGCGCGCAGGCGGAAGACUCCGCUAACAAUUGGUGCGGAGAAGAGUUUACGAAAACGGAUGCCUUGCGGAGCGCCAUUUUAUGCUUUCGAUAGAUAAAGAAUCUGCUUUAUCUAUCCAAAAUUUACUUAAAAUUUGUUUUGAGAGGCUACCCAGUGAGUUUUUCGCAGCGCUGUUUAGCUUGAAGCGCCUGGUGAAGAAUCGUAGCCAGUCGCCCCCAAGUCUUCUCCGGCUCGCUCGAUUCUCCAUCAGGAAUCGACUGCAGCAGUUGCAUCCUGCUGAUCAGCUGAUUAACACCAGCGCUGCGGAACAGCUGGGGUUGCCUCUCUAUCUCAGAUAUUUUUUACCACAUAAGUUGAUUCCGGCCUCGGCCCUUUGAAGUAGUUAGUUUGAAAUUAUUAGUCUCCGCCAUCGGCUGAGACUUUUGUAUUAGGGUAUUAUUCUCUUCAAGAAAUUAUUCCAGCAAACUCUCGUCCCCAGGUGAAAGCUUUAUAUGUACAUGAACACGGUAAUGCAUUGCAAAACAUCGAUAAAACGAGAGUGUCCAUGAACUAAGAAGUCAAUCUGGGUUACAGCCGCGAAAGUGCUAUGGGCAUGCAUAGCGCAAUACAUGUAAAUUUUUAACCAAUAAACCUCGCCAUACCGGCACGAUGACUGGUGCCCCGCGUUAUGUGUAUUACAUAUUGGCUGCACAUAUGGAGGAACGUAAUGGAUAAAGACCAGGGACUAGUCUCCACCAUCGAAGCAUUUUCUAUAAUACCGGUAAAUAAAAUAUGAUAUAUGGCGCCAGUUAGGGUAGAACACAACGACAAAGCAACACCGAUAUCCAAUCCAACGCAACUUUAAUGUGAGACAAAAUAAGCACACGACCAACCAGUCGUCGGGCUGAACUUAGAGUGGCCUAACAUACAUACAUGUACAUGCAUACACAAAUAGUAUUAGGGCAAUUACAACAAUACAUAAAAGGGUGUUAUUAACAACAAUACCACAAUUACUGGCGCAACCUCUUUUUCUUUUAGAAAGAUGAUAGUGAGAGUCCAAUAUAUUCACGAAUGAUCAUGAGAAUGAGGUUUGAAUUAGAAAUGGCCGUAAAACUGCGUUUGCUUUCGAUCACGGCAGGAGCGUCGCAGAGGUUGAGGGUCAGUGGACGCGGAUAUGCAUGGUUCACUUUGGGUCGAAGGCUCGGCUAUUUCCAGAGGAAUCUCGGGAACGGGCGGUGGCGGUGGCGUCUGUAUUGGCUCUGGGAGUUCGGAUAAGGCACGUUCCGUCGCAGGUACGCACACGGUCACGUCGGAGUCGUCGUCGUCAUCGUCAUCUGUCGAGUACUUAUAGUUUUUAGUGUCUAGAACUACCUGGCUUGGUACCCUAUAACACUCAGUUUUCUUGACCCGGUAAGAUGCAUUUCGCAGUUGAGAACCAACAAGCUUUCUGAUAUUGCACCAAUUGUUGUCUAGUGACGUCAAGAUGUAACGAUCACGAGAUGCAGACUUGUUACGAUCGGCGUAGAGGUACACGAUGUCGCCGACUUCCCAAUCCUGUAUUGAACCAGUGUCGGAGGUGCGCGUGUUCGGAGCUUUUGACUUUUCGCUAUGUGGGUGAUUGUCUUUGCGCUUACUGUGUUGAUUUCGGAUCAAAGACUCGUCAGACAUAUUCAGCUGUCUGUUCGUGAACUGGUCACGUUGUAGCAUCAUUUCACGUGCGGAGAGGCCUCUUGAGCGGACGCGAGCAUUUAGGGUUGCAGAGGCAAUGGCUAGGGUCUUCGCGGAGAUGCACCCACCUGUGGGGUCAGUUUUUAGCAACUCCAACUCUAAUUCCUGGACAGCUUUUUCGGCUACCGGGUUUUUGUUGACGUUCUUUACUCUACCAACUUCGAUCGCGAUUUUGAGUUCUGAUAGCUGUUUGUCGCUGACUAAAGCUUUGAAGCCUGGCGCCGGGUCAACGCGAAUUACAGCGUUAGGACCAUCUAAGGGUCUAAUAUCAACACAUAGGCGGAUGAGACCAUCGCGGAGUGAUUCAUGGCGCUCAUCUUCGAUAAGGGUUGACGUAGUGUAUGACGUCACACACUCUCUGAGGACAAGGAUGAACUGCCUGUUGCACCUGAUCACAUCUGCAGCGAAUGAUACACCGACGGUGUCUGGCGGAUCACAAGUACUUUGUUCCGCAAACAAAUGUGGGGUUUUCAAAAGCGAUGCGCAUUUGUGACAAGACUGAGCGACCUUUUCAAUGGACUUGUCGAGAUCCAAGGCGAAGAAGUAGCGGUGGGUAACCGACUUCAACUGAUUGGUUGACGGAUGGUCAAGCCUAACAUGGAGAGCUGUCAGUAAGCCAUCUAGUACCUGACGGGGAACGACUAUUCGUUCACGCGUUGGGAUGAGUGGUUCGUUCUGGGGUACAACCAAAAGACCGUCUUUUGCAAUCGUCGCAGCGUUGAGGUAACGUUUCACGUCCUUACUGUUAGUUACCUUUUUGGAAGGGCGUGUACCUUGCUUCAGGUGCGCAUGUGUGCGUCUUAAAUCUGCGCACUCAGACUGGAUCGAUAGCCAUGUCGACCUGCUGGUAAACGGGAGCUUGUGAAUGCCGGACACAAUGUCGGAUACGUUUACAGGUACGCGUCGAACGACUGAGUCCUCGGUUUGUUUUACGAAACUGCAGAUUUGGCAACCUUGCUCAUCACAUGGUGGGGCAUUGCGGCUUGCAAAAUCCGACUGCAGUAUGGAAGAGCCCGAUACAUGGCGUAUAGAUACCUGGUAUCUACUCGCUGUUGACAGGAAUGUGGUGACUCUAGGACUAGCAGAAAACUCACCGCGGCAGAGUUUCUCAAAUGCUUGUAGCAUGGUUUACUGUCUGUCAAGACACAAGUGUUUUCUGUGGCUUGGAUUAUAUAAGGACUAAAAUGUUUGACAGCUGCUGCGAUUGACAAAGCUUCGACCUCGCACGGUAGCCAAGUAGCUUGUCUGUCUCGUAGUUUUGCGCUAAAGAAACCGGCUAGGUGUACCUUGUCUGACUGAGUGACGUAGAGUGUAGCGCCUAGACCAGGUUUUCUAAAUGCGCCGUCUGUUACGAUCCACAGAGUGUCACUUGGACGAGGUAGCGUGAUAAUGCGAUUUGUUCCAAGUGUUUUCUCAGCGCUUUUGAAGGCUUCACACAGUUCGUCAGACCAAACAAUUUUCUCUUUGGACUCGCGACCGGCGGUAGCUUGGUCUAACAGAGUGAGUACAUCGGAACAUCUCGGGAUAACGCGGGCAAGUACCUUAUAGGCGCCAAUGAAAGACCUUAAGUCCUUCACUUUCUCUGGGAGAUUGCAAUUCGAGAGGGUUGCGAUGCGAUGGGGGCUAGCUUGGAGGGUACCCAGAGACCAGAUCCAUCCAAGGAUGGUUGUACUCUUAGGAGCGAUAAUCGUUUUCGGGGCUGAAAGUGCGAGACGAUUGAUAUGCAGGACGUGUAGGAACUUCUUGAAGUUAAGGAGGAGCUCCUCUGGGGUGUCUCCACCGAUGUAGAGGUCAUCGGCUAUUUUAGCUACGAUGCCUUCUUGAAUGAGGUGUCCUACAACGCGAGACAUUAGUUCCUCAAGUGCUGUUUCAGAGCCGGGCAUGCCCAUCGCCGAUCGAGUGUAGACACGAACGCCGCGGAAUGGGGUACAAACACCACAGUAUUUCAUAGACUCUUGGGAGAGGGGAAUCUGAUAAAACGCGCUGGUGAGAUCUGUAGUGAUUACGUACUUCCACUUUGCGAUCUGGCGCAAGGUUGAGUCCACGUCGGGCAUUAGGGAGGGCUGGGGUUUGCUGUAGCGUCCCACGUCAGUAAAAGCGGUGACGAGCCGAAAUCCGCCUUUGGAUUUCUUUACCAAGAACGAUGGGUUUAGAUAUUCCACGUUCACGCCUACGUCUUCAGGGCGUUUGAAUACGCCUUGGUGUUCUAGGGUGUCGAACUUCUCUUGAAGCUCGAGUAAUUGGUUACGCGCGUACUGAGGGAGGCGACCCUUUCUCUGUGGGGGCUGUACCGGGCCCAUGUUAACCUUAGCCUCGAACGGACCGGAAGCUCCGUUGUAACCUUUGAAGUUUGGGUCGAAUACGCUGUCAUAUUCGUCUAGGGUCGAGCGGAAUUUGGUGGCUAUGUCGGGGGGUAGGAUGUUAUCAGGGUCAAGACUCACUGUAGCGGAGUGUUUUGAAGAGUCAGACUUAGCCCGUAUCAGGGGUGUCUUUGUGCAUCGCGUCGGCGCAGGAUCUGUUUCCGGCACGAAGACGGGGCAAAUCUGGCAUAUAUGUUCGUUGCGUUUUAGGACAACGGGUUCGCUAGUAGUGUUAGGGAUGCGGAUUUUUCCUGCGAUACUUGGUAUCACGGCUGGACUAGGCCAAGUUUCUGUUGCGAGUCUGGCGUCUACCUUGGGUUCCAGAGCGAAUUCCGAAUCGGGGGGAAUGUCGACCGGGGUGUCUAUUUCAAGGAAGUCACCGGGCCAAAUCGUGACAGAUUGGUCUGGAGCGCGGAUUACGCAUGAGCGAAUUGCAUGACGACCAGAUGGUUCGGGUAGUGAGCCGUAGAUGUACUUGGAGCCGACGCCUAGUCGGACCUCGCGUUUUGCAGGUCGGACGGAAACGUCAUUAUGUUCCAUGAACGGGGUACCUCCAAGGAUAUCUACAUCAAGGUUUUCAAUGACAAGACCUUCAAAAAAUAAUGGUUGAUCGUCUCUGGUGAAUGUCAGCCUAGUUUCCCCAAUGACUUUCAAAGGGGAUGACCCGUCAGCUUGGUGGGCAGACUGUGAGCUUUUACGGAUGUCUACGCCAAGUCUUUUAGAAGAUGGCAAGCUGAUGAGGUUCCCUGUUGCGCCAGUAUCAAUAGUGAUGCGGGCGCCAUGGUGUUCAUAGAAACAGUUUAUGUAGGGUGACUGACGCACCUGGAUUCUUUGGGCUGAUGGGUUAAAGUCACAGCUACUCGGACCUUGAAUGUCACUACUGCAAUCAAAACUGGACACCUGAGGUUCCUGAGUAGUUGUGUCAUAAUCGGCAUUGUCAUUGUCAAGGAUACUUAGUAUCUGUCUUGCUCUUACCAUGUAGCGGCGAUCCUUUUCGGGGAGAAACUUGCACUCGCUUAGGAAGUGUCCCUGAUCACUGCGACCCGCCUGUUUGCAAAGAGGACAAGACUUAUCCCCUCUGCCGUCGAACUUUCUGCCUGAUCUCCCUUGAGGGCGAAACGAAUUGGUUUUAGGAACGGAUUGGUGUGAUGCUGCGGCACGCAUCACUUUAGCACUUUCGUUCGUACGUAUUUCGUCCAGUAGAGAAUCGAGGGCUUGGGAGAUCUCCGGUUUUAACGAUGAUAGGGUCCUCGAUCUUAGCUCGGUCCCGUAACGUUGUUUAACGAGUUUGGGUAACUCCGGGUUGAUGAGUCUGAGCCACGUAAGUACUACCAUAUUCUCGAGAGAAGGUGAGAGCUCUUCAUCUUCGGUCAUGACAGACCUGUGGUGAGAUAAGCCGUUCGCUUUUAGUAGAUUGUCCUCGACGAAGGCCGCGAGCCGUUGGUAUAGGUCCUCUGGUCUUUCGUCAGGCCCUAGUUGAAAGUCGGCCAGAUCAAGGAAAUGGCCACCCGUUGUCUGGAAUCCAAAGUGUAAUCGGAUAGUUUGCCAAAUGAGAUCGGUGGAUGUGGAGUUCUUCACUAUAGUAUUCCGGGAAAUAAUUGGACAGAAGUUCGCUAUUUGACCUAACAUUAGUUCUAACAUGGACACCUUUUGUUGGGCAGUCCACCUGGAACCUUCAGGUACGGUUGCUGGGUCAUCCUUGAACCCGCGAACCGGUUCAGUCUUGGUUUUCUUGCCCCAAGUCAUACCAUCCACCAGAAAUUGGGCAAAGUUUGCAUCAAGGGAUAGGGUGUACACUAAGUUCUGUUUCCAGUUCUCGAACGAACUUAUCGUCUCGUUUUUGGUCAAGCACCACUGUUUCGGCGCGCGUUGCAUGAUGUAAUUGGAAAUUCGGAUCACUUGAUAUGUACGAAUCCGGUGAAGAUACGGUGCACGUUAGCACUGUGCCGUGUUUUGCGAUUGUCCUACCGCCGUUAGAGUAUCGUUCACUCGUAGGCACGGUUUUUGGGUUCGAAGGAACCGCUGCCACCACGCCAGUUAGGGUAGAACACAACGACAAAGCAACACCGAUAUCCAAUCCAACGCAACUUUAAUGUGAGACAAAAUAAGCACACGACCAACCAGUCGUCGGGCUGAACUUAGAGUGGCCUAACAUACAUACAUGUACAUGCAUACACAAAUAGUAUUAGGGCAAUUACAACAAUACAUAAAAGGGUGUUAUUAACAACAAUACCACAAUUACUGGCGUGGAGUUUAUGGGCUAUGAAAUAAGAAAAACGGCAGUGAAUUAAAGCAGCUGAGUUUCAAGAAUGUGUUCUUCCCUUCUGGACACUUUAUUUUGCCUUGAUCAGUCGUACUUCGCACAUAAACCAUCGCUCCGCUGAAGUGAAAGUGCGAUGUUUUUGGUUUGUUUUUGUCAACAUGCAUGGCUGUGUGCAUUCACGGCUGAUCGACCAUGCACUGGAUUUCGGUCUGAGAACAUUUUUAGUUCCUGGACGUAUAGUUAGUCCACGUUAUUCGGUGAAAAUGUGCUGUACCGACUUGGAUCUAUAGCAAACUGCAAACCUAAUCGCAAUCAUAACUAUUGUCAAUGAUAUAUAUUGCUUGAAAUACACCAGCAAUCAAUAAACAAAAUUAAUAUUA